GUCAGUAAAUAAAUACUCCUUCUGCCCGGAAAUACUUGUUGGAGAAAUGGAUAAAAAUGGAUGUAUCUAGGACUAAAAUACGUCUAGUGUAGCGACCAGACCUCAAACAAUCUGAUCUGUGUGCAUUAGUGUCACAGUACUUGAGGAUUUAUAACAGAGUAGGAAUCACACACUUAUUACAUCGAAUGUAUCAAAAGAGAACUUAUUACAAUAAAUAUGGCUUAAGGCCAUCUAAUACGAUAACAACGGAAGGCUUGGAAGAUAAAAUGAGUCCAUCAACUCCAACGGCAUCACUGAGUGAAAGACCACGACCUAAGGCACCUUACUCGUUGUCUGAAAAGUCUGCAACAUGAACGUUGCAGCCCAAAAACGGGUCAGCACAUGGAAUAUGCUGGCAAUGUAACACAAGAGAGUAAUGAACAGAAUAAUGCUAUCACUACAUGCAUAUAUGCUGUGACGCCCCCAAUUCAAUCGUACACUAAUCAUACACGCAAAUGUGUACGAUCAAGAUCAGGGACUCACGGGAAGAUAUCACAACACAACUCUACAAAUAAAAUAAGUCAUACAAGCAUCAUAUUACAAGCCGGGGGCCUCGAGGGCUCGAAUACAAGAGCUCGAUCAUAGACGAGUCAGCGGGAGCAACAAUAUCUGAGUACAGACAUAAAUUAAACAAGUUUGCCUUAAGAAGGCUAGCACGAACUGGGAUACAGAUCGAAAGAGGCGCAGGCCCUCCUGCCUGGGAUCCUCCUAAACUACUCCUGGUCGUCGUCAGCGGGCUGCACGUAGUAGUAGGCACCUCCCGAGUAGUAGUCGUCAUCAACAGUGGCGUCUAGCUCCUGGGCUCCAACGCCUGGUCGUAGCAAUCGGGUAUAGAAAGAGGGGGAAAGGGGAGCAAAGCAACCAUGAGUACUCAUCCAAAGUACUCGCAAGUAAGGAACUAUACUACAUAUGUACGCAUUGGUAUCAAAUGGAAUAAGGGUAUCAUAUGUGGACUGAACUGCAGAAUGCCGGAAUAAGAGGAGGAUAGCUAGGCCUUUCGAAGACUACACUUCUGGUAACCUCCAUCUUGCAGCAGGAGAAGAGAGUAGAUGGUAAGUUCACCAAGUAGUAUCGUGUAGCAAUAUCCUAACCGAUGAUCCUCCCCUCGUCGCCCUGUGAGAGAGCGAUCACCGGUUGUAUCUGGCACUUGGAAGGGUGUGUUUUAUUAGGUAUCCGGUUCUAGUUGUCAUAAGGUCAAGGUACAACUCCAAGUCAUCCUGUUACCGAAGAUCACGACUAUUCGAAUAGAUUAACUUCCCUGCAGGGGUGCACACAUAACCCAACAUGAUCGAUCCCAUUUGGCAGGACACACUUUUCUGGGUCAUGCCCGGCCUCAGAAGAUCAACACGUUGCAGCCCUACCUAGGCACAAUAGAGAGGUCAGCACGCCGGUCUAAAUCCUAUGGCGCAGGGGUCUGGGCCCAUCGCCCUUUGCACACCUGCACGAUGUGAACGCGGCCGGAAGCAGACCUAGCCUAGCAGGUGUUCCAGUCCAAUCCGGCGCGCGCCGCUCAGUCGCUGACGUCAUGAAGGCUUCGGCUGAUACACGACGUCGAGUGCCCAUAACUGUCCCCGCGUAGAUGGUUAGUGCGUAUAGGCCAGUGGCCAGACUCGGAUCAAAUACCAAGAUCUCGUUAAACGUGUUAUCUUAAAAUAACCGCGAACGCCGACCAGGGCCAGGCCCACCUCUCUCCUGGAUGGUCUCAACCUGCCCUGUCGCUUUGCCACAAAGAUCCACACAGAAGGCUGUCGGGAAAGUAUGUCCUUCCAGCCCCCAAUUCGUGAAUCAACCGCGGGUACUCCUCGAGCCAACCCGACUUUAGUCAUCACAUGUAUCAUGUAUAAAGUAUAUAGUAUAUACCCGUGAUCAUCUCCUGAGUGAUCACGGCCCGAUAGUAUAGCAUGGCAGACAGACAAGAAUGUAGGGCCACUGAUGAUAAACUAGCAUCCUAUACUAAGCAUUAGGAUUGCAGGUAAAGGUAACAACAGUAGUAGCAAGGACAGACUAUGCAUCAGGAUAGGAUUAACGGAAAGCAGUAACAUGCUACACUACUCUAAUGCAAGAAGUAGAGAGAAGAGUAGGCGAUAUCUGGUGAUCAAAGGGGGGGCUUGCCUGGUUGCUUUGGCAAGAAGGAGGGGUCAUCUUCGAUGUAGUCGAACACACGGACAUCGACAGCGGUCUCUAAGUCUACCGGAAAGGAGUAACGGAGGGGGAACACAAUAAAUAACAGAGCAAUCAAAUGUAACACAAAGCAAGACGCGGCAAUACGUUGUGCUAGGGAUGACCUAACGCAGUACUAGGUGCUACCAGCGAAGGGGGGAAACAUCCGAAAAAGUAUUCCCGGUGUUUCACGUUUUUUGACAGACGGACCGGAGGGGGACGGUUGCAGGUUUGCUAUGCUAGGGACGUGUGGCGGAUGAACGGGAUGCGUAUCCGGAUUCGUCUCAUUUUUCUGAUCAUUUUUCAUAUAUAAAACUUUUUCAUCCGAGUUACGGUUAAUUUUGUAUGAAUUUCCAAAGUUUUAAAAAUAUUCUAGAAUUUUGUGUUUAAUUUAAAUUCGAAUUGACCAAGUCAAUGUGACUAGUCAAAAGGAGAGGUGGUGGCCCAUAUGACACUGAUUUAAUAAUUUCCAAAUUUUUAUCUAAUCUAUUUAGAUGGGACCCACUUGUCAUUUGCUAAAAGGGCUAGUUAGCACUAAACUAAUCCUAAGCUAAACAUAGCCUAAUUAACAAGGGCCGACCAUUAGUGGACAGAGUCCAGCUGGCCACACACGCACACCACACACACACGCACGCUGUACACACAACACACAUACAUACACAACACACGUACACACAGUGCUAGGGGUUAAUUCUGUUCUCUGUUUAGAAAAGAUAGCAUUUUGUGAUUUUCAUAGGAAUUAAUUCAUGCAUCAAAUUGAUUUGGUCCAAUGAAAACAUUUGAGCUUUGACAAGUGUACUAUCUACAAAUAUUAUUCUUACUCCUGUUAACAGUUGUUUAGCUACAGUUUAGGAGCUGCCCAAAGGGUUACUCAGUGUAAUAUUCAUAAAGCUAGCCAUACUAGACUAACUAGCAGCAGUAUAAGCAGAGAGGUGGGCAUUGGCGUGGCGCAGGCUCGACUGGGAAGGCGAGGCAUGCACGGGUGAGCGCGGGGCGCGGCCGACGCGGCUAGCGGAAGCCGGGUAGCGAGCGUCAGCAGUGCAGCGGUAGCACGCGGCAACGGCGACAUGCAGCACGGCACGGCGGCUUGCGAUAGCGGCGCAUGCAGUGCGCGGAGCAGAGCAGGUGCCGCAGCGGCGGUCGGAAGCGGUUGCGGACUCAACGGCGACAAAUUGAAGCAGGCAAAGGAGGGAUCCGGGAGAGGAGCUCACAGCGAACUUGGGGGCGCGGUCGAGGAGGCCGGGGGUGGACUGGAGCUGUUGGAAUCGACGACGGCCGGAGAUGUACGCGACGGGGACGACGACGAUGGCGGGCGUACAGGGCCUCCCCGGUCCAACCCAAUAGCGUAGAUGAAGGAGGAGUUUGUGGUGAAG
rnacentral:lncRNA from 1 species